rnacentral:rRNA from 1 species
GACGAACGCUGGCGGCGUGCUUAACACAUGCAAGUCGAACGGAAAGGCCCUGCUUAUGUUGGGGGCUCGAGUGGCGAACGGGUGGGUAACACGUUUGUAACCGGCCCUUGACUUGGGGACAACUUCAGGUAACUGGGGCUAAUACCGGAUAGGAGCUCCUGCUGCAUGGUGGGGGUUGGCAAUGUUCGGCGGUUGGGGAUGGACUCGCGGCUUCUCAGCUUGCUGUCGGGGUAGUGGCUUACCAAGGCUUUGACGGGUAGCCGGGCUGAGAGGGUGACCGGCACCAUUGGGACGGAGAUGCGGCACAGCCCCCUACGCGACGGAGCAGUGGGGAAUAUAGCACUAUGGGCGGAAGCCUGAUGCAGCACCGCCGCGUGCGGGAUGACGGCCUUCGGGUUGUAAUCCGCUGUCGCCUGUGACGAAGCGUGAGUGACGGUAAUGGGUAAAGAAGCACCGGCUAACUACGUG